GAUAGUACUUCCUGGCUACCCCAAAAAAGAGUCGAGGAGUGCCAAGGGAAGGAGGCCCAGAGCAGGGGUUGGCAUCUCAUUGUCACCAGCUAGUCGAGUAUCUUUGGUCUGGCUCUGCCUCCUUUUUGUAAAAUGGGCUUCAUGCAAAGCACCGCGUGGUCCCGCUCCCAGCUCUGACGCCACUGGGCUCUCGGAUGCUAAGCGUGAAACUCCAUCUUUGCCAAGAAACUGUAGGCCGUACAGGUCACAGAGGAGGCAUGUGGCAAAGGCUUGAUGUAGCCAUGGAAACAGCAAGUGUGAUAGAGGGCCACGCUUUGUGCAUGGACUCCAACCUGGGCAGCGGCUCGGGGAGUCCAGUGGCUGGGCUCUGCGGAGGGCCUUGGACACAGCCUGCCCAUUUUUCUGAGUCAGAGCUGCAGAUUUGUUCAUGCUGUCUGUCAAAAGAGCUCCAUGGGCUGCAAUGGGACAGAAGAGGUGACAUAAUUCUCAGAGCAAAGAGGGCGGCUCGGCUGAACUCCGCGGAGGCGUUCUUUUAGCCUAAACAAAUACGACCGCGAAACUGUAAAUAAACCAAGACCGUUCCAGGAGAUUCUAUAGACUUUUGCUGAUGAAUACACAAAAGCAGACCAUCAGACAGACACGCUAGCCUUAAAAAAAUGAAUCUGUCUUUGUUUCGCUCGCGUUCGGGGCUGGCAUAUCAGGACCAGAUGAAGUGGAGCGGAGGCGCCCAGGUCCACCAGGUGGAGAAGGCACAGAGCAGUGGCUGGUUGU
rnacentral:lncRNA from 1 species